rnacentral:misc_RNA from 1 species
GUUGGUCCCUAGAUUUUGACAAUUUUAUUAGUUAAUCCAUAAGAUUAUAUAUUGUCUACAAAAUGAUCUAUUUGUCUAUUCAUCUUACAUUUAGCCGUUAGUCAUUGAUGAAAAGACUAAUUACACUUAUGCCUCACUGGUAGAAUUUUUUCUUUAGGGAUUUUUUGGAUAGCUUUAAGAAUUAAAUUAGGAAAAUUAAGGUGUAAUUGUAAUAUUGUAAUUAUAAAUAAUUGAAAUUGAAAAAGAAAUACAUAGAAUGGUAAAAAUUAAUUAUAUAACAUAUUGAAUUGUAUAUGGUCUUCUAACAUAGUAACAGAAACUAUGAUCAUUACAUGAGAUCUGAGACAAGAAAGAUUAACUGAUGGAAUUAGGGAAUGAGACAAGCUGCAGGAAAAAGUAAAAAAGGUCAUAGUUCGAAAUACUCAUGGACAUUUUGAAUUAUAUAGGGCCAUUUGAUACCAUACGGAAUUUUAUAAUUUACAGGGCCAUGAGGAGCUUGAUGCUG